UGCCAGCAGCCGCGGUAACACAGGGGUCCCAAGCGUUGUUCGGAUUUACUGGGCGUAAAGGGUGCGCAGGCGGCAGGAUAAGUUUGAUGUGAAAGCUCCGAGCUCAACUCGGAAAAUGCAUUGAAAACUGUCUUGCUAGAGGAUCGGAGAGGAGACUGGAAUUCUUGGUGUAGCAGUGAAAUGCGUAGAUAUCAAGAGGAACACCAAUGGCGAAGGCAGGUCUCUGGACGGUUCCUGACGCUGAGGCACGAAAGCUAGGGGAGCAAACAGGAUUAGAUA
rnacentral:rRNA from 1 species